CUGCUACUCAAACAUGAGCCCAAGUGACUAAACCAGGGGACACCAGGCACCAUAACCACUUCAAUGAGCACAAGUGACUAUGGUACUAGUGUGUCCCUUUAACUAUCUGCAGUACUCCCUACUUCUUCUAAUGUCUUUACAUUGAUUGGAAUGUCUGUGCCAGUGUCGCUUUUCAGCUUGUCCCGUUGAAGUGACACCUUUAACUCGGUGUGGCUCCUGUGCAGUGUCCCAGUAGGCACUUGUUUUGGUGACGAUCUGCUACCCAUCUUUUACAUGAGGUGAGUCCCUUGUACUGCAUCAUGCCUCGUGCCCGACGCUCUGCCCUUACUUGCAAUGGCCGCGAUGGCUUCGAGCACAUUGCAGGAUGCGGCGGCUGGC